rnacentral:ncRNA from 1 species
GGUUCGGAAGAGACUGCGCUGCGCGCAGCGCCGAAGGGGAACGCAAAAGCUCUCAGGCAAAAGGACCGGAC